UGCUGGCGCCUGGGCUCGGGCAUCAUCGGUGGGAGGCUGGCGGCUAGUUCCUACAUCCAUCCAUUCAUUCAUUCAUUCAACAGAAGCUUGUGCGGAGGCACAGGCGUAAGCGAGGCGGGCUGUGCCCCCUUAAAAGGCUGAGGGCCAGGUGACGGACCCUGGCCUGGUCCUGCCCACCGUGGGGGCGCGGACCCCGGCCCGGCCCUGCCCGCCGUGGGGAGCCGGGGCUGGCCAGGCAUCGCAGGUAAAAGGAGCCGUCCGAGCCUGUGGGGUGCGUGGGGUCCCCCGAGGUGAAGCUGGAAAAGUAAGUAGGGGCGACUCGGACGGGCGGCGUGUGCGCGGUGGGGAGCCCCCGUUCCCGCGGCAGCCGGGAAGGGGUGUGGAUCUGCACUUCGGAGCGGCGACGAGCUGUCGGGCCUGGGCUGCGCAGCAACGAUCCAGGAGGCUGCUCCCGCGCUCGCGUGUGUGUGAUGGUGACACAAAUCAGUGUAAGGCUACUGGCUUCUUCCAAGAUGUGUAAACCGCCUUGACAGCAAGGACUCUUCUCUGUUUGGUUUCUGCUUGGCACAUACAUUCCUCCUGAGCUAACCACUGAUACAAGCUGAAAGUAAAGAAACCUAGAACCCACUCCACCUGGCAAUGGACUCCAGAGAGAAAGCCAGAAUCUGCAAAAAUAGAACAAAUAUCAGUCCUAGAUUGUUUUCUCAGCACCCCAAAAUGUCAGCUUCCUUUCUGCUCACCCACAUGACUGAAUUUAACAAAAGCAUAAUUUCCUUUUGAAUAUUCUCACCUACCUGCAUGAAGUCAUAGGGCUGAUUUAAAGUUUGUAUUUUAUUGCAUUACUGUUCCAUAAUUUAAUAAAACCAUCAUGUGGUGUUUUGUUGUUUA